CCCGCGGGAGGAGGGAGGCGAGGCGCAGAUCUCGUGCCGCCGCGGCCUCGCGGGAGGGCGGGCGGCGGAACGGGCGGGGCGGGGCGCGGACGCAGCCGGCCCUUCUCAGGUACCGCCGCGGCUCGGUGCGCGGCCCGGGGGCGGUGCGAGGGGCGGGGGCGCGCGAGCGCGGGCUCCGGCCUAUAAAAGGGCGGCCCGGGCGCUCCCUCCCGAUUGUGAGGCUCGAACCGUCGAGCCCCUCCCACUACGCGGUGCUGCAGUGUCUGCGCUUGGCCACCAAAAGGGAUUUAUUCGCGCUCGGCUCUGCUUAGCGUUGCUAGGACUUGGCGGAUCCGUGCUCAGGGAUUUCCCAGCACGAUGUUUUUCUCCCGCCCUAAUAGAUCCUUCCUUGGUUUCCUCUUUGGCUCUGCAGGCUGCGGCCGGAGCGCGCGCGUGUACAUGUUAGGACUUGUCCGCCCUGGGUGACCUCCUUCCCCUUCUCCCUCCCACGGCAGAAUCCAGGAUUAAGAGCCUUUCAGAGAAAUGUUCCGCCAAAAAAAAAAAAAAAAAAAAGGUCCGUGAAAGUCACCGCGUUAGAUGUGGACACCCAGUGUUAUUCAUUAACUGUGUGAGGUUUUACCCAUAGGCAUAAAAGCAAAAGGAGGUGGGGAAAGACUGUUAAAAAAAAAAAACUUUAUCCAAAAAGUGGGGAGGGUAGAUAGGGGUGCAGUUGUGAAAUCGGGGGGGGGAAAGGGGGGGUUAUUAACAGCAGCUGGGUUGGCCAUCGUAUUGGAACCAAGGGGGUUUUUUGUCUGACUUGGGUCACUAAUAUAGGGUGUGACCUUGGGCAAAUAAUUUGGUUUCUUCGGACCUCAGUUUCCUCCUCGUGGAACGAGAGUUUCACUUAAAACCAGAAAAGGCUUUCUUCCCAACAAAAAUAUUUUAAGCAGUAGGAGGCAGAAACCAUGGUUUCCAGUUCGAAAUAUGACACCGAAUAAAGAACUUUUGACAGGAAUUUCCAACCUACCCUAAUUAGAGAUCAUUCACACUUAUUUAUGAUACAGGUGUAUUUUAAUGUUUGGUAGGUUGCCAUGUAUUUUAAGUGAUGUGAGAGAUCGUCAUUUGGAACCAUUGUGUUCUUCAAAUAGGAAAAUCAAAAGGCUCAAAGGGACAGAUCGCUGUAAAUUCAGUGAAAGUCAAGGUAAAUUAUUUGUUCCUUCCACCCCUGGGGGACAUUUGGUAAAAUGUCUGGAGACAUUUUUGAUUAUCACAUCUGAAGGACUGCUCCCUGUAUCAAGUAGGUAAGAGACCAAGGAUGCUGCUACAUAUCUUACAAUGCAUAGGACAGCCCCCACAACGGAGAGAAUUAUCUGACCCAAAAUGUGAAUAGUGCCAAGCUGAAAAGCCCUGAUCUAGUCCAAAGGAAAUUUUUACUCAGCCCUUCAUGUACUGCAUUGCCUCUGUGAAACCAUGAUGGAAAAGAAACUCAACCCCCCCCCCACCACCACCACCACGCCAAGGGAUUUGGAAGCCCUGAAUGGCAAACUCUGGAGGCAAUUGCUAUCAACUACAGACUCUCAAAAGUCUUCAUGCAGGUUUCCCCCAAUGGAUUCAUAGCGCCUGCCUGGGUGUAAGAUAAGCACACAAAUGUAUAUUGCCUGAAUGAUUAAUAAAGUAUAUUUUAACCAAAAUAGUGGGGUUUUAUUUCUUUUUUAAAAACUAAAGGGAAGUCAAAUUAAUCAUUGUGGGGAGAAUUUCUGUUCUUAUCUUUUUAUUGCAGUUACAGGAAGAAGCAAAACUUUUUAAAAACAACUCUCAAUUCACCCACUUCCAUAAAUUAGCAGUAAUAGUUUUAAGGGAGAGACCAAUAGACCUAUAAAUUAAAGAUGAUGUUUGAGGAACAAAAAAUAACAGCAGCUUUCAGAAUAGAGUAAUAUUAGAGCUCAUGCAGGAGGUCUCCAAGACCCUCAUUUAAAUGAUGUAUCCAGAAUUGAAACCAGAGCAUUUCUGAUGGAUUAUGGCUAGCCAGGAAGAGACCAAAUGCACGUGGAGUAAGGUUAGAUUAAGUUCUCAGUUUAAAUAAGGCACAGAGUCUCAGAAGCAAGGUGUCUGUAUAGAGCAGCAUAUCGAGUAGUUUUCGCUGGCUCCAGUGUCCCCACUGCACUUUUAUAACUACGGUUAAAUCACAUUCUAGGAGAACUUCCACUGAUAAUCUUUGUUACUGACAGUGAACUCUCCUGGGUUUUGAUCCUCAUUUUAUAUCCUCAUUCCAGAGUUGAGGAAAGACUACCCUCAAAGAUCAACACUUACAUUUGUUUCCUCAAUAAAAUGUAUUUUUCCAACCUUAAAGGUUUUAAAUGCAAAGCAUAGGAAAUACAGAAAACCAUAAAGAAAAUAUAGGAUACUCAAUCCCACCCAGAGGCAGUUAUAAUUAACAUUUUAGUCCAUUUUUCUUCUAGAACAUUUUUCUAUGAAUAUAUUUCUUAGUGGAAACAGUGUCCCACUUUUUUUACUUUACAUUAUAGGGAAGCAUUUUCCAUACAAAUUAAAAUUCUUCAUAUUCAUUACUUUAAUGGAUGCAGAAUAUACUGUGCUAUGGGCAUAACGACAGUUUAUCACUUUCCCACAGUAGGCCAACAACAGUGUUCCAAAUUUUACAUUAUAAUAAGUAUCCCACUGAGCAUUUGCUCCAUUUUGGAUCCUACCCUUAACUUUUCAAGGAACUUACUUUAUAAUUUAUUAUUGGACAAGAACAUCAAUUCCUGUGACAUGUCAUGUUCCUUCUCUCCACCUCUUUUUGCCCAGUUCACUCUAGAUUUCAGGUCUAAAGUCACUUCCUCCAAGAAGUCUUCCCAAACUUUAUAUGUGGUUAUGGUUUUCCGUUACAUAUUCUAAUUGCACAGUGUUCCUUUUCUCCAUAUCACUUACCUCUGGUUGUAAUAAUCUAUUCAUUUGUUAAUUAUUUGGUUAAUUUCUGUUUCCCCCCUUGGACUAGAACAGUACAAUCAUUGUCUGGAUAAGCAGUGAUUAUAAUGUUAUAAACACAGGCCAAUUAAUUUGAUCUCUUCUGUAUCCCUGACAAGAUAGGUUAAAGCUCAAGAUUGAAAUACAAUUAGUCCAGAAAUACUUAUGUGUCUGGCAUUACUCUAGGUGCUGGGAAUAUAGAAAUGAGAACAACAGGCAUGAUUUCAGUUUUCAUUGUGCUUAUAGUCUAAUGCAGCAUUUGGCAAACUAGGGGGACAGAUAAUAAAUAUUUGGGGUUUUUACACUAUAUGGCCUCUCACAACUACUCAGCUUUGCCAUUGAAAUGAGAAAGCAAUCAUCAAUUAUCAUAAAUAAGAGUGUUUAGGUUCCAAUAGGAGAUGCAGCGGGGCUAGGUUUGACCCAUGGGCUAUUGUUUACCCCUGGUCUGUUGGACAAGACAGCUGUUGAACAGAUCAUGAGAUGAUGACUACUUUUCUUUUUCAAAAGAAAGGACAGGGUGCAAUGAAGUCACGUGGCAGAGCUGUCUAACCUAGUUUAGGGAAAAGAACAAAGACUUCUUAAGGAAUAGAACUUUAAGGAAGAAGAGGAGUUAUCUAAAGUUAGAGUGACAGACUCCAUGAACACCUAAAGUAUAGAAAGAGCAAGAAUAGAAAGAAAUUCAACCUAAGCUUGAGAUUGAUAGGGAGAGGGAGCUGAAAUUUUAAGAAUAUAGAGUAAAAAGAUGGGGCGCCUGG